GGGUUGUGAGGUUAAGCGACUAAGCGUACACGGUGGAUGCCCUGGCAGUCAGAGGCGAUGAAGGACGUGCUAAUCUGCGAAAAGCGUCGGUAAGGUGAUAUGAACCGUUAUAACCGGCGAUGUCCGAAUGGGGAAACCCAGUGCAAUUCGUUGCACUAUCGUUAACUGAAUACAUAGGUUAACGAGGCGAACCGGGGGAACUGAAACAUCUAAGUACCCCGAGGAAAAGAAAUCAACCGAGAUUCCCCCAGUAGCGGCGAGCGAACGGGGAGCAGCCCAGAGUCUGAAUCAGCUUGUGUGUUAGUGGAACGGUCUGGAAAGUCCGACGGUACAGGGUGAUAGUCCCGUACACCAAAAUGCACAGGUUGUGAACUCGAAGAGUAGGGCGGGACACGUGGUAUCCUGUCUGAAUAUGGGGGGACCAUCCUCCAAGGCUAAAUACUCCUGACUGACCGAUAGUGAACCAGUACCGUGAGGGAAAGGCGAAAAGAACCCCGGCGAGGGGAGUGAAAAAGAACCUGAAACCGUGUACGUACAAGCAGUGGGAGCACCUUCGGGUGUGACUGCGUACCUUUUGUAUAAUGGGUCAGCGACUUAUAUUCUGUAGCAAGGUUAACCGUAUAGGGGAGCCGCAGGGAAACCGAGUCUUAACUGGGCGUUAAGUUGCAGGGUAUAGACCCGAAACCCGGUGAUCUAGCCAUGGGCAGGUUGAAGGUUGGGUAACACUAACUGGAGGACCGAACCGACUAAUGUUGAAAAAUUAGCGGAUGACUUGUGGCUGGGGGUGAAAGGCCAAUCAAACCGGGAGAUAGCUGGUUCUCCCCGAAAGCUAUUUAGGUAGCGCCUCGUGAAUUCAUCUUCGGGGGUAGAGCACUGUUUCGGCUAGGGGGUCAUCCCGACUUACCAACCCGAUGCAAACUACGAAUACCGAAGAAUGUUAUCACGGGAGACACACGGCGGGUGCUAACGUCCGUCGUGAAGAGGGAAACAACCCAGACCGCCAGCUAAGGUCCCAAAGUCAUGGUUAAGUGGGAAACGAUGUGGGAAGGCACAGACAGCCAGGAUGUUGGCUUAGAAGCAGCCAUCAUUUAAAGAAAGCGUAAUAGCUCACUGGUCGAGUCGGCCUGCGCGGAAGAUGUAACGGGGCUAAACCAUGCACCGAAGCUGCGGCAGCGACACUAUGUGUUGUUGGGUAGGGGAGCGUUCUGUAAGCCUGCGAAGGUGACCUGUGAGGGUUGCUGGAGGUAUCAGAAGUGCGAAUGCUGACAUAAGUAACGAUAAAGCGGGUGAAAAGCCCGCUCGCCGGAAGACCAAGGGUUCCUGUCCAACGUUAAUCGGGGCAGGGUGAGUCGACCCCUAAGGCGAGGCCGAAAGGCGUAGUCGAUGGGAAACAGGUUAAUAUUCCUGUACUUGGUGUUACUGCGAAGGGGGGACGGAGAAGGCUAUGUUAGCCGGGCGACGGUUGUCCCGGUUUAAGCAUGUAGGCUGGUUAUCCAGGCAAAUCCGGAUAAUCAAGGCUGAGGUGUGAUGACGAGGCACUACGGUGCUGAAGUAACAAAUGCCCUGCUUCCAGGAAAAGCCUCUAAGCAUCAGGUAACAUCAAAUCGUACCCCAAACCGACACAGGUGGUCAGGUAGAGAAUACCAAGGCGCUUGAGAGAACUCGGGUGAAGGAACUAGGCAAAAUGGUGCCGUAACUUCGGGAGAAGGCACGCUGGUGUGUAGGUGAAGCCCCUGCGGGUGGAGCUGAGACCAGUCGAAGAUACCAGCUGGCUGCAACUGUUUAUUAAAAACACAGCACUGUGCAAACACGAAAGUGGACGUAUACGGUGUGACGCCUGCCCGGUGCCGGAAGGUUAAUUGAUGGGGUUAUCCGUAAGGAGAAGCUCUUGAUCGAAGCCCCGGUAAACGGCGGCCGUAACUAUAACGGUCCUAAGGUAGCGAAAUUCCUUGUCGGGUAAGUUCCGACCUGCACGAAUGGCGUAAUGAUGGCCAGGCUGUCUCCACCCGAGACUCAGUGAAAUUGAACUCGCUGUGAAGAUGCAGUGUACCCGCGGCAAGACGGAAAGACCCCGUGAACCUUUACUAUAGCUUGACACUGAACAUUGAGCCUUGAUGUGUAGGAUAGGUGGGAGGCUUUGAAGCGUGGACGCCAGUCUGCGUGGAGCCAACCUUGAAAUACCACCCUUUAAUGUUUGAUGUUCUAACGUUGGCCCCUUAUCGGGGUUGCGGACAGUGUCUGGUGGGUAGUUUGACUGGGGCGGUCUCCUCCCAAAGCGUAACGGAGGAGCACGAAGGUUAGCUAAUCCUGGUCGGACAUCAGGAGGUUAGUGCAAUGGCAUAAGCUAGCUUGACUGCGAGCGUGACGGCGCGAGCAGGUGCGAAAGCAGGUCAUAGUGAUCCGGUGGUUCUGAAUGGAAGGGCCAUCGCUCAACGGAUAAAAGGUACUCCGGGGAUAACAGGCUGAUACCGCCCAAGAGUUCAUAUCGACGGCGGUGUUUGGCACCUCGAUGUCGGCUCAUCACAUCCUGGGGCUGAAGUAGGUCCCAAGGGUAUGGCUGUUCGCCAUUUAAAGUGGUACGCGAGCUGGGUUUAGAACGUCGUGAGACAGUUCGGUCCCUAUCUGCCGUGGGCGCUGGAGAAUUGAGGGGGGCUGCUCCUAGUACGAGAGGACCGGAGUGGACGCAUCACUGGUGUUCGGGUUGUCAUGCCAAUGGCACUGCCCGGUAGCUAAAUGCGGAAGAGAUAAGUGCUGAAAGCAUCUAAGCACGAAACUUGCCCCGAGAUGAGUUCUCCCUGAGACUUUAAGUCUCCUGAAGGAACGUUAAAGACGAUGACGUUGAUAGGCCGGGUGUGUAAGCGCAGCGAUGCGUUGAGCUAACCGGUACUAAUGAACCGUGAGGCUUAACCUUACAACGCCGAAG
rnacentral:rRNA from 1 species